rnacentral:rRNA from 1 species
UGCCAGCAGCCGCGGUAAUACGGAGGGUGCAAGCGUUGUUCGGAAUCAUUGGGCGUAAAGCGCGUGUAGGCGGCUUGGCAAGUCGGUUGUGAAAGCCCGGGGCUCAACCCCGGAACUGCAGCCGAAACUGCCUCGCUAGAGUCUCGGAGAGGAAAGCAGAAUUCCCGGUGUAGGGGUGAAAUCCGUAGAUAUCGGGAGGAAUACCUGUGGUGAAGGCGGCUUUCUGGACGAUGACUGACGCUGAGACGCGAAAGCGUGGGGAGCAAACAGGAUUAGAUA